rnacentral:lncRNA from 1 species
GUGAUGUCUAUGAAUAGGUUUUCUAAAAAGAAGCUGGCAGCUUUCCAGCUCUCUUCUCAAGGACCAGUGUUUGUAAUUCCAGUGGCUAACACGUAAUUACAGUCUCAAGCUUGCUUUGAGAAAAGUGCUGGGCUUUCUUUGUGUCUGGUCUUCUCAACAGCUGUGUCAUCAGGCUGGCUGCCUACUCACCGUUUCAAACACUUCAAGAAAAUAAAAUGGAUAUCUAGUAAAAGAAAAGAAACAUGUUUCCAUGCCCUUGGAAGGAGGAGGAAUGGUCUCAAUUUUGCUCUUCAAGAAGAACAUACUUACGAAGCCAACACAGAUGUGGGACCCACUCACGCCAGUUCUGUUGUGCAUGUCCCUCUAGCUGGUGCAAGUUUAGUGUACAUGAAGUAUAUGUCCUGGGAAUACGCUGGGACCCUUACUCUUCAAUGAGUGUUUUCACCAACACUGACCAGGUGCUGAUGGGAGAUAGUUUACCUUCAAAUUUUUUCAAGUUUUUUUACUUUACAACAAAUAAAAAGGAAGAAUCUCUUUCUGCCCCUCAUGCUAAAGAGAUUACUCUGCAAAAACAGAUCCCUGUUGUUUUCUAAGGAGAGACCGAAAGGAUGUGGAUUCUGACAGGAGAGAAAGUGAGCAAGAUCAUUUUAGAGCAUGGAGUAUGAAUCCAGACUGUUAACACAAGGCACAGAGAAUCGACUUGAUGAAGCAUUUCUGGCAUGAGCGAGGUUCUGCAUCCAUUACCAACAGGGUUUCAUCAUCGAAAAUGUACGGUGUCGUUUCUAAUGGGAAACAUUUCCUGGCACCCGUGUGUACUCAGCUUCGGGCUCUCAUCAGAUAAAAAUGCUGUGACAAUCACAGACUAAUUUGUCUUGAGUGUUUUGAGAGACUUAAUGAUAGUACUGCUUUUGAUCUUUGGGUGUAAAUGUAGCUUUUAAAAAAAAAAUCAUCUGGGAGUUGUUUCCUCUAUGUUUUCAGUACCACCUCAAUACAUUUUUCGGGGAU